UAAUACGGGGGGGGCAAGCGUUGUUCGGAAUUACUGGGCGUAAAGGGCUCGUAGGCGGCCAACUAAGUCACACGUGAAAUCCCUCGGCUCAACCGGGGAACUGCGUGUGAGACUGGAUGGCUUGAGUUUGGGAGAGGAAUGCGGAAUUCCAGGUGUAGCGGUGAAAUGCGUAGAUAUCUGGAGGAACACCGGUGGCGAAGGCGGCAUUCUGGACCAAUACUGACGCUGAGGAGCGAAAGCCAGGGGAGCAAACGGGA
rnacentral:rRNA from 1 species